rnacentral:rRNA from 1 species
AGAGUUUGAUUCUGGCUCAGGAUGAACGCUGGCGGCGUGCCUAACACAUGCAAGUCGAGCGAGAAAUUAAUUAAUGAAUCUUCGGAAGAAUUGAUUAAUGGAAAGCGGCGGACGGGUGAGUAACGCGUGGGCAACCUGCCUUUCACAGAGGGAUAGCCAAAGGAAACUUUGAUUAAAACCUCAUAAAGCUGGAAUAGUGCAUAAUAUACCAGCCAAAGAUUUAUCGGUGAAAGAUGGGCCCGCGUCUGAUUAGCUAGUUGGUGGGGUAACGGCUCACCAAGGCGACGAUCAGUAGCCGACCUGAGAGGGUGAUCGGCCACAUUGGAACUGAGACACGGUCCAA